rnacentral:rRNA from 1 species
AUUGAACGCUGGCGGCAUGCUUUACACAUGCAAGUCGAACGGUAACAGGCCGCAAGGUGCUGACGAGUGGCGAACGGGUGAGUAAUGCAUCGGAACGUGCCCAGUCGUGGGGGAUAACUACUCGAAAGAGUAGCUAAUACCGCAUACGAUCUAUGGAUGAAAGCGGGGGACCGUAAGGCAUCGCGCGAUUGGAGCGGCCGAUGUCAGAUUAGGUAGUUGGUGGGGUAAAGGCUCACCAAGCCAACGAUCUGUAGCUGGUCUGAGAGGACGACCAGCCACACUGGGACUGAGACACGGCCCAGACUCCUACGGGAGGCAGCAGUGGGGAAUUUUGGACAAUGGGCGCAAGCCUGAUCCAGCAAUGCCGCGUGCAGGAAGAAGGCCUUCGGGUUGUAAACUGCUUUUGUACGGAACGAAACGGCUCUGGUUAAUACCCGGGGCUAAUGACGGUACCGUAAGAAUAAGCACCGGCUAACUACGUG